UACAGAGGUGGCAAGCGUUGUUCGGAAUUACUGGGCGUAAAGGGCGCGUAGGCGGCCUUCUAAGUCAGACGUGAAAUCCCCCGGCUUAACCUGGGAACUGCGUCUGAUACUGGGAGGCUUGAGUAUGGGAGAGGGAUGUAGAAUUCCAGGUGUAGCGGUGAAAUGCGUAGAUAUCUGGAGGAACACCGGUGGCGAAGGCGGCAUCCUGGACCGGCAUUGACGCUGAGGCGCGAAAGCCAGGGGAGCAAACGGG
rnacentral:rRNA from 1 species